AUUGAACGCUGGCGGCAUGCUUUACACAUGCAAGUCGAACGGCAGCAUGGGCUUCGGCCUGAUGGCGAGUGGCGAACGGGUGAGUAAUACAUCGGAACGUACCUGAUAGUGGGGGAUAACUGACCGAAAGGUUAGCUAAUACCGCAUACGCCCCGAGGGGGAAAGUGGGGGACCAGCAAUGGCCUCACGCUAACAGAGCGGCUGAUGGCUGAUUAGCUAGUUGGUGAGGUAAAGGCUCACCAAGGCGACGAUCAGUAGCGGGUCUUAGAGGACGAACCGCCACACUGGAACUGAGACACGGUCCAGACUCCUGCGGGAGGGAGCAGUGGGGAAUAUUGGACCAUGGGCGCAAGCCUGAUCCAGCAAUGCCGCGUGGGUGAAGAAGGCCUUCGGGUUGUAAAGCCCUUUUGUUUGGGAGCAAAUCCUAACGGUUAAUACCUGUUGGGGAUGAGAGUACCAAAAGAAUCAGCACCGGCUAACUACGUGCCAGCCGCCGCCGUAA
rnacentral:rRNA from 1 species